ACAGUGUGAAAUUUCAAAACCUCAUUUUGCCUGCUGAAAUUUUGCUUCUCUUAUCUCUCUCACAAACUCUCUCUCUCUCUCUCUCUCUCUCUCUCCCUCAGCAAACUAUCUAUCAAAACUCUUGGCCAAAAUUUUGCUUUUCCCGAAGAGUUUUUGUCUAUUGAAUCUCUCCGCAAUCAAACUACCCAUGCUUUCCCAUUGAAGUCCCGUCAUUGGGUUGUCGAUAUUUUUGCUGCUGACUAAUAACAAUUGGGGAUUUUUGCUGCAUGUCCUUCAAGGUGUUCGACAAAUGUACUUGUGUUUGAGCUUGAGAAAAACUCUUUUCUUCCUUUGCCGGCGGUUCUGUUCUUCAACGGUCGGAUCCGGUAGCCCGGGUGCCGAAGUGGAGGAAGGAAGGUCGACACGGGGACAUUUCCUGCGUUUGUAGAUGAAACUGUCAUCGUUGAUGAGUUCCCACUCAUUGUCAGGUUCCCAGCUCACUGGGGUGGUGGCCAUUGGGCUUCUCCCCCUUGUUUUUUUAGGGAUCAAAUGCAACAUGGGUCCGCCUUGUGGCUAUAAUACUUCCGGUGAUAAUAAUCAAGUAUGAUUUUGCCUACUCCUCAGUCGUGGUCACUCUACAGUUAAGUGUCCUUUCGUUUAUCAUCGGCCGAUCUGUGGUUGCAAAAAAAAAUCUCAAAGAUAAGUAAGUAAUUAUGGCUACGCAAGGUCAAGUGAUUACUUGCAAAGCGGUGGUGGCCUAGGAACCCAAUAAACCUUUGGUAAUCGAGGACAUGCAGGUGGCUCUGCCUCAAGCCGGCGAAGUUCGAGUCAAGAUCCUCUACACUGCCCUCUGCCAUACAGAUGCAUACACCUGGAGUGGCAAGGUGAGUAUGGAUUAAAUUCGAGGAAAUGAGGGCUUUUCAAUGAGGCUGCAGGGUAUGUUCUCCUUUUGUUCAUGAGGCUGCAGGAAUAGUUGAAAGUGUUGGCGAAGGUGUGACUGAAGUCAAGCCCGAGGACCAUGUAAUACCUUGUUACCAGGUAGAAUGCAGGGAAUGCAAGUUCUGCAAGUCGGGAAAGACCAACCUCUGUGGCAAACAAGAUAAGCACUAGGCUUUUGUUUUCUAAUUUGUAUGAAGGGAAAAUGAAGAAGCUCAGAUGCAUUGUUUUGCUGUUGCAGAUGAUUAUUUGCUUUUGUCUAAGUUCAUACUAUCUUGAUGCAUGUUUGGUUAAUGCCAUUUCAGAAAAGGUUAACUGAGGGCGUUCCAAUGCAAUUAUUCUGUACUCUGAAUUAUAGUCUUUUUACUUUUUGUCUUUUGGAAAUUGAUAUGGUGUCCUUAUUGGAAGUGUUACAGCACUUUUCUUCUUUCCUUCUGUUCAAUUAAAUCCCCUGCUUUAUUAAAGUGACUGACAAAGUGGUUAGCUGGGAUUUCGCUUAACCAAUUCCAGAAAUAACAACAUUUAAUAAGCGAUUCAGAACAUGUAAGAUGAUGUAUAAUCUUAAAAGAAGUUGCGAAAAUUUAAAAAAAAAAAAGUAAGAUGAGUUUAUUCAUAUCCUUUGAUUAUCACAAGAUGCGUUUAUAUCUGCAGGUAAAUCAUUUGAAGCUCACAAUACAAGGAAGCUCUUGUUGCAUUCUCAGUUUCACUCUCCAUAGAGCCAGAUUAUGUACCAAGCAUUGUCUCAAGUGCUGGAGUGCUGAUAAAAUUGGGUAGACAGAAUCUUCCUAUUGCAAGAAGCUUGUUGAUGACUGCUCUCCGACUAGAGCCGACAAACCACCAUGCGUGGUUCCUUCUUGGAGUGCUAUCCAAGUCUCAAGGCUUGAAACAAGUAGUCGCAGAUUACUUCCAAGCCGUACAUGAACUAAAGCUUUCUGCUCCUGUUCAAGACUUUGCUUAACAACGCAUUGAGCACCAAGGUUCCAGAGAUAAAGGAACUUCUAUUUGGGACUUUAAAUGUUGGUUUUGGCUGUUAUAUACUGACAGUGUAGACAAUUAGUUACAUUAGCUGGUGUUGGUUUUGGCUUUUGAUUAGCUAUGUUAGUACUUGUUGUUGAUUUUAGUUCAACAAAUGAUAUUUAAGCAUUGACUUUUGCUUUUAAAUUACUA